CAAUAUUCGGGUUUUGCUCACUGCUUCAACCUCGUUGUUUCGCUUUGUCGUGUUGUUAAAUCCGGUUUUCUUCAAGUGAAGUAAGGUGGAAAAAGAUCAUUUCUUGAAAUAUAAGGUUUAUCAUAUUAAUUGUGGAAGUUCUUGGCUGGACUGAGCUCUUGAACGACGUAAGGUACAGACGCACAGUUCGGUGAUCCCCCAGUUUAGGAUAUCCCCUUCAGCUGUUUGGAGUGCUCUUCUCAUUUCAGAGCAUACACUUUUGGUAUAUACUUUUGUUCGCUAUGCAUGUAUACAUUUGUUCCGGGGUACGGCGGGGCCCUGUCCCGCCAUAUGAUUCGUUUGGUCUGUUUAGAGGUCUGUAGACUUAUUUGUGGGUGUGUGUGCCUACUUCUGUACAGUUGUGUCCAUAUGAUCUCUUUCGUUAUGGCAGCCUUGUCGGCUCGCACAUGUAUAUGUUGUUUUGUUGGCCCUGUGUGGCCUUUGUUGGUAUUUGCUGUGUACAGGGUUAUUUUGGAUAGUCCGAAAAACAAAGGAAACUCUGCCGAAAUUUUCUUUGAAAAUCUUAUAAAUUUGAAACACCGCCUUGUCGGCUUCUGUUAUAUACCUGGAUGGGUUUGAUAUAAUCUGAGGCAGUGUUUGAUAUUUGUGUCGGUAUAAGUUAUCUGUUUGCCACUCGGAUUUGUGAUU